UAGGGAAUCUUCCGCAAUGGGCGAAAGCCUGACGGAGCAACGCCGCGUGAGUGAUGAAGGUCUUCGGAUCGUAAAACUCUGUUAUCAGGGAAGAACAAACGUGUAAGUAACUGUGCACGUCUUGACGGUACCUGAUCAGAAAGCCACGGCUAACUACGUGCCAGCAGCCGCGGUAAUACGUAGGUGGCAAGCGUUAUCCGGAAUUAUUGGGCGUAAAGCGCGCGUAGGCGGUUUUUUAAGUCUGAUGUGAAAGCCCACGGCUCAACCUUGGAGGGUCAUUGGAAACUGGAAAACUUGAGUGCAGAAGAGGAAAGUGGAAUUCCAUGUGUAGCGGUGAAAUGCGCAGAGAUAUGGAGGAACACCAGUGGCGAAGGCGACUUUCUGGUCUGUAACUGACGCUGAUGUGCGAAAGCGUGGGGAUCAAACAGG
rnacentral:rRNA from 1 species